rnacentral:tRNA from 1 species
UCCCUGGCGGUCCAGUGGUUAGGACUCUGCACUUCCACUGCAGGGGGCCCGGGUUCAAUCCCUGGUCAGGGAA